UACGUAGGAGGCGAGCGUUGUCCGGAGUUACUGGGCGUAAAGGGUGCGCAGGCGGCGGUGCGCGUGGCGAGAUGAAUCUCCUGGCUUACCUGGGAGGGUGGUCGCCAGACGGCAUCGCUUGAGGGUCGGAGAGGGGCGUGGAAUUCCGGGUGGAGCGGUGAAAUGCGUAGAGAUCCGGAGGAACACCGACGGCGUACGGC
rnacentral:rRNA from 1 species